AAAGCUAUAAAAAUCAUCUCAGGAGAAUCAUAGUGUUUUCUGAAUUGGAAGUGAUACACAUCUGGUCCAGCCGACAGACAACACAUUAUGUUCAUCUACUCUCACAGAGAUGUUAUACUAAUUUAUCCAGAGAGACCUUCUGAUAUAGGAAAGAUUCCAAAAGGGGAACAGUAAUUGAAGAAAAGCAAAUCUUCAUCCAUGUGAGUUUCAAAGGUAAUGCAGUUUUAUAACAAAAUUGCUCAGACAGCUCCUGUUGGACACUUAAACAACUGUGUGGUG
rnacentral:lncRNA from 1 species